AAUGGAGGAAACUCUGAUGCAGCAACGCCGCGUGGAGGAUGACGCAUUUCGGUGUGUAAACUCCUUUUAAGAGGGAAGAUUAUGACGGUACCUCUUGAAUAAGCACCGGCUAACUCCGUGCCAGCAGCCGCGGUAAUACGGAGGGUGCAAGCGUUACUCGGAAUCACUGGGCGUAAAGGGUGCGUAGGCUGACUUUUAAGUCAGGCGUGAAAUCCAAUGGCUUAACCAUUGAACUGCGCUUGAAACUGGGAGUCUAGAGUUCAGAAGGGGCAGAUGGAAUUAGUGGUGUAGGGGUAAAAUCCGUAGAUAUCACUAGGAAUAUCAAAAGCGAAGGCGAUCUGCUGGGAUGAUACUGACGCUGAGGCACGAAAGCGUGGGGAGCAAA
rnacentral:rRNA from 1 species